CUAAUACCGGAUAAGAAAGACGGAUCGCAUGAUCAGCUUUUAAAAGGACGGCGUAAGCUGUCGCUAUGGGAUGGCCCCGCGGUGCAUUAGCUAGUUGGUAAGGUAAAGGCUUACCAAGGCGAUGAUGCAUAGCCGAGUUGAGAGACUGAUCGGCCACAUUGGGACUGAGACACGGCCCAAACUCCUACGGGAGGCAGCAGCA
rnacentral:rRNA from 1 species